UUGGUGGUUGAAGUCCGGCCGUGGGAAAUUGGCAGUUCACCCACGUAGCUAGAGGAAGGUGUUAGGGGUAACCAGAAACGCUAAGUUCCCUGAAAAAGCUCUCCAUGAAGAGUCGAGCAAACCUGCAGGCUGCAGCGCCA
rfam:Planctomycetes bacterium RIFOXYD12_FTLL_42_12 rifoxyd3_full_scaffold_44503_curated, whole genome shotgun sequence.